rnacentral:rRNA from 1 species
GACGAACGCUGGCGGCGUGCCUAAUACAUGCAAGUAGAACGCACAGUUUAUACCGUAGCUUGCUACACCAUAGACUGUGAGUUGCGAACGGGUGAGUAACGCGUAGGUAACCUGCCUGGUAGCGGGGGAUAACUAUUGGAAACGAUAGCUAAUACCGCAUAAUAUUGAUUAUUGCAUGAUAAUUGAUUGAAAGAUGCUAUUGCAUCACUACCAGAUGGACCUGCGUUGUAUUAGCUAGUAGGUGAGGUAACGGCUCACCUAGGCGACGAUACAUAGCCGACCUGAGAGGGUGAUCGGCCACACUGGGACUGAGACACGGCCCAGACGCCUACGGGAGGCAGCAGUAGGGAAUCUUCGGCAAUGGGCGAAAGUCUGACCGAGCAACGCCGCGUGAGUGAAGAAGGGUGUCGGAUCGUAAAGCUCUGUUGUAAGAGAAGAACGGGUGUGAGAGUGGAAAGUUCACACUGUGACGGUAGCUUACCAGAAGGGGACGGCUAACUACGUG